rnacentral:rRNA from 1 species
CCUACGGGAGGCAGCAGUGGGGGAUAUUGCACAAUGGGGGGAACCCUGAUGCAGCGACGCCGCGUGGGUGAAGGAGCGUUUCGGCGCGUAAAGCCCUAUCGGCAGGGAAGAAGGAGGACGGUACCUGACUAAGAAGCCCCGGCUAACUAGGUGCCAGCAGCCGCGGUACUACGGAGGGGGCAAGCGUUAUCCGGAUUUACUGGGUGUAAGGGGGGCGCAGACGGCAGCGCAAGCCAGGAGUGAAAGCCCGGGGCCCAACCCCGGGACUGCUCUUGGAACUGCGCGGCUGGAGUGCAGGAGGGGCAGGCGGAAUUCCUGGUGUAGCGGUGAAAUGCGUAGAGAUCAGGAGGAACACCGGUGGCGAAGGCGGCCUGCUGGACUGCGACUGACGUUGAGGCCCGAAAGCGUGGGGAGCAAACAGGAUUAGAUACCCCAGUAGUC